rnacentral:rRNA from 1 species
UACCAGCACCCCGAGUGGUCGGGACGUUUUAUUGGGCCUAAAGCAUCCGUAGCCGGUUCUACAAGUCUUCCGUUAAAUCCACCUGCUUAACAGAUGGGCUGCGGAAGAUACUAUGGAGCUAGGAGGCGGGAGAGGCAAGCGGUACUCGAUGGGUAGGGGUAAAAUCCGUUGAUCCAUUGAAGACCACCAGUGGCGAAGGCGGCUUGCCAGAACGCGCUCGGACGGUGAGGGAUGAAAGCUGGGGGAGCAACCGG